GACCCCGUGGCGCAAUGGUAGCGCGUCUGACUCCAGUUCAGAAUGUUGUGUGUUCGAGUCACGCCGGGGUCA
rnacentral:tRNA from 1 species